CAAUUACUAUAUGUUUUUUUUUUUGUGUGUGUGUGUGUGUAGUUUGCUCGUUUUUAUCUGAAAAAUCCCGACAAGCUGUUCUCUGCGGUGCUCCCCCUUGUAAAGAAAUCACAAGAAGAGUUCUCCCAGAUGAUUGUCAACAAAGAUUUACCUAGUUUGAUCAAGUUGAUCAAGGUGGCUGAGUACAUUGGUUAUGAGAAUGUGCGCAAAGCUGCACGCAACCAUAUCCUCUCUAAGUCAAGUAACCAACUUUCCCAU